rnacentral:rRNA from 1 species
AUACGUAGGGGGCGAGCGUUGUCCGGAAUGAUUGGGCGUAAAGGGCGCGUAGGCGGCCCGGUAAGUCUGGAGUGAAAGUCCUGUUUUUAAGAUGGGAAUUGCUUUGGAUACUGUCGGGCUUGAGUGCAGGAGAGGUAAGUGGAAUUCCCAGUGUAGCGGUGAAAUGCGUAGAGAUUGGGAGGAACACCAGUGGCGAAGGCGACUUACUGGACUGUAACUGACGCUGAGGCGCGAAAGUGUGGGGAGCAAACAGGAUUAGAUACCCUGGUAGUCCACAUUGUAAACGAUGAAUGCUAGGUGUAGUGGGUAUCGACCCCUUCUGUGCCGCAGUCAACACAAUAAGCAUUCCGCCUGGGGAGUACGGCCGCAAGGUUGAAACUCAAAGGAAUUGACGGG